AACGAACGCUGGCGGCAUGCCUAACACAUGCAAGUCGAACGAACCCUUCGGGGUUAGUGGCGCACGGGUGCGUAACGCGUGGGAAUCUGCCCUUUGCUUCGGAAUAACUCAGGGAAACUUGUGCUAAUACCGGAUGAUGUCUUCGGACCAAAGAUUUAUCGACAAGGGAUGAGCCCGCGUAGGAUUAGGUAGUUGGUGGGGUAAAGGCCUACCAAGCCGACGAUCCUUAGCUGGUCUGAGAGGAUGAUCAGCCACACUGGGACUGAGACACGGCCCAGACUCCUACGGGAGGCAGCAGUGGGGGAUAUUGGACAAUGGGCGCAAGCCUGAUCCAGCAAUGCCGCGUGAGUGAUGAAGGCCCUCGGGUCGUAAAGCUCUUUUACCAGGGAUGAUAAUGACAGUACCUGGAGAAUAAGCUCCGGCUAACUCCGUG
rnacentral:rRNA from 1 species